AGAUGGAGUCUCCCUCUGUUGCUUGGCCUGGAGUUCAGUGGUGCAACCCCAGUUCACUGCAACCUCUGCCUCUCGGGUUCAAGUGAUUCUCCUGCCUCAGCCUCCCACAUGACUGGGAUUACAGGUUUUUGCUUGUCUGAUGACUGAUGGCUCCACCCAGACCUGCCAACCACUCCCGCGGCCCCAUCCAGAAGUGGCUCAGCGUGCGUGAGGACCAUCUCCAACAUCGCUAUCAUUGUACCCCCAACCAACCAGCGGCAAGAACCUAUUGCCUAGUCACCUCCCCUCUCUUUCCCCAACUAUCGUUGAAAAAGUCUGGCUCCCAAAUUUUCUGGGGGACUGAUUUGGGUAAUAAUAAAACUCCAGUCUUCUGUUCA